ensembl:lncRNA
UCGCAAACCUGUUUACAACAACAACAACAAAACAGAUUGCAGGAAACAGGAAACCAAGAUCAGAACAAAAAAACGAACACCCACUCCCAAACCCCAAGUNAGUUAAAAGGCUUUACAGUUACAUAAGUUAUGAUAAAAACAGUAGAAAAUAAUGNGGUGAAAGGAAUCAUUCAUACUUAGAAGACUUGGUCAAAGAAAUAAACCUUCAAGAGGCACUUGAAUGUUGGUAAUGUAAAUACCCUGUACGUCAGACAGAAGAGUUUUCCAGNGGGGAGGUGCCACCACUGAGAAGACUCAGUUGCAGGUAAGCAUUAGGCGACAUCCAUGAGCCUGAGGCAUUUGCAGCACUAACCCUUGGGAUUAUCGUGGUGAUCUUACAGGUCUGUAGUAACAAAAGUGAUAUGUGAAGCNCCCUGGUCCCAAGUUGUUUAGGGCCUUAUAUGCCAAGCAUAAGACCUCAAAGCUCUAGCAGCCAGUGCAACUGCUUAAACACUGGUAUUAUAAGUGGGCAGUGCAGUGUCCCACUCAGCAACCUGGCUGCUGCAUUUUCCACCAGCUGCAGCUCCCAGCGCAGGUANAAGGGAAGCUCCACAUCAGGGCACAUUACCCUAUGGUAAUGGCUAGGCAAUAUCCCUGUCCAGGUAGGGGAAUAAUUGAAUAUCUACAGCUAAUAAACAUUCCUUGUCACACAGGACACUUGGGCGUCCAGAGACAAAGAAUCUAGGAGCACCUGUUCUUUCNGAGUGAAUGAGAUCCCAACUCAUCAUGAUCUUGUCCAGACUGCCCGUGUUACAGAUGGUCAGGACAUCCUGCGGUAGUGAACUCCACUGCAUGCGUCUGGGNCGAAGUCGCCCUUCUGAGACUGAGGAAGCUGGUGAGUAUCACGUGUGGGAAAGNCAGAGGAGCUGGCCACACACCAUGACAGUACUGCCACAAAACCUUUCCACAGCACUCCUGCUUCAUCUCCUNGCGGUCCUUUUCUUUGGCAUAUAUACUUUCAAACACCUUUGCUUCCAUCGCAGAUAUUGUGACCGCCACUUCAUGGAGUCUGAGUCCCUCUGGGGGUGGCACGAAGGAGUUUCUGAGAGGAUGAGUACCUCAGGCAAAAAAAUGUUAGGUUCUGCUGAAAAAAUCAUGAGAUGGGUAAAAUUAACUAUGAAGCAAUUGACCAGGAAUAAGAGCAGACCAAAAAUACAAAUACCUUACAGAAUUAUAAAGAAGCUUAAUAAAAAGCACUGUCAAACCUAAGAUAUGUAAGGGAAACAGACAGAGAGGGAAUGAGUGGUGGGUGACCAGCCCAAGCUCUGUUGUAAGAUAAGCUGGGGCCUUCGCCACGACACAGCGCUGCCGCUUGGGUUGUCAGAAUGCUGAACCACGCGGGCCUCUGGCCUGAUCCAGCAGGGCUGUUUGUAUGUUUUGUGGUUCAGGACGUCCCCACGGCACCUGCNGCUCCGUUCUGUGCCCAUUUUCUGCAAUGGGAGCCACUUCCUUACUAACGAAGCAAGUGUCAAAGCCCGGCGCUCCAUCCAUCUGUUUCCUGCCGCUUUACUUACCUCUGUUGGGAAGUGCNGGGGUCUCCUGCUGUACAGGGAGCUUGGAAAUCUGCCCUAUCCACAGGAAACUUUCCUUGCAAGCCCCCAGCGAUAGCAGCAGGUUUUAUGUGGGAACUGUCACCUCCAGCAAAGGCAGAGAAUGCAAAGGAGCCGACAUGCCACAUACAGAAAAAUGAGUCAUGUUGAAGAGACAGCAAAUACUUGUGCCAGAAGAGUACUGAAGAGAACACAGUCCCCAGUGGAAGUAUUGCCAGUAAUGCUAAACACAGCACAAGAGAGGGAGAAAAAGGCCAGGUGCCCGCGCAUCAUAUGCAGGAAGCCCCUGGUCAAGGCUUCCAAGUGCCCCAUGGACAGGGCAUCCUUUCACCCNUUUAGAAAAACUGGCCUCGUGUCUCUUUGAGGCUGUCCAGACCCAGAGUGCUGGAUGAAAUCCCCCCUCUUCCAAGGCGUCCAUGGAUCGAGGUUGCUCCAGAAACACCAGCCCAGGAACGUUUCCUCUGCAAGGGGGGUCAAGGAUGGGAUUUCCCACACUUUUCUCAAUGCACCCUUUCUGGAACAGGGAUUGGUCCGUCCCUGCCCCAGAGCGACAGACGGUCACCCCACCUGCCCUGUUUGGCUGCAGCCAGAAUCUCUAUUUUAAGCCCUUCGGUGCUGGAGAAGACCAUGCUCUCUCCCAGGGCCUUUUUGNACCUUAA